rnacentral:rRNA from 1 species
AUGUCAUGCAACGACUGUUAUUCGCAGUGCUACUUGUCCUGUGACGCCUCCAUUCCCUCGGAGUGCAGCAGAUACUGUGACGUCCCAGGUUCCUGCAACCCCUGCAAGACCACGGCCAUCGAGGAAUGCAGGACCAGCAAAAACUGCACCGGCAGCUGCGACGAGUGCAACGAUGCUCCCAACUUCAAAUGUGCCUUCGCUUGCACCACCCGAAACUGCAAUGGGUGUCAUUAUGCAGGAAGCCAGAUGUGCCAGAAAACGUGCAGCGAGGAGUGCUCCGCGCCCAAAUGCGUACCCUAG